UUAAUUGAAACCAAAUAGAGGUUUAUCACUGUUAAUGAUAAUAAUGAGAUUAUCUCCAAUUAAA
rnacentral:tRNA from 1 species